GACGAACGCUGGCGGCGUGCUUAACACAUGCAAGUCGAACGGAAAGGCCCUUCUUUUGUGGGGUGCUCGAGUGGCGAACGGGUGAGUAACACGUGAGUAACCUGCCCUUGACUUUGGGAUAACUUCAGGAAACUGGGGCUAAUACCGGAUAGGAGCUCCUGCGGCAUGGUGGGGGUUGGAAAGUUUCGGCGGUUGGGGAUGGACUCGCGGCUUAUCAGCUUGUUGGUGGGGUAGUGGCUUACCAAGGCUUUGACGGGUAGCCGGCCUGAGAGGGUGACCGGCCACAUUGGGACUGAGAUACGGCCCAGACUCCUACGGGAGGCAGCAGUGGGGAAUAUUGCACAAUGGGCGGAAGCCUGAUGCAGCAACGCCGCGUGCGGGAUGACGGCCUUCGGGUUGUAAACCGCUUUCGCCUGUGACGAAGCGUGAGUGACGGUAAUGGGUAAAGAAGCACCGGCUAACUACGUG
rnacentral:rRNA from 1 species